AGCAGAGUCAAAUUGAUCCUCAUUGUAGGAUUUGCGGUUGCAAUACCGCUUAGUUUUGUUUGAGUGCUGAAAAAAAAACAUUAAUUAGUUCUUUCAAAGUUUGUAGUUUAUGUUAAAGUCUUUUUUAACAUGAAGAAGUCUUGCCAUUAUGAACCUUCUGGUCAAUGAACGCACAAUGAAAUUGUGUGGAACAUAAUUUCAGUAGUUUGGGGGCAGGGGCAUUACUGUGUCGACGGUCUUCUAUGUGAGUCCAGUUAGUAGUGUUCAGUGUCCUGCUGUCAUUAAGUGAGACAGUGGCAUUCUAUGAAACCUGCAAAUGUUCUUUUGGUUUGGCUGCAGAGUCGUUUUUUUAGGUCGGCUUGCAAAGUAUAUCUUGGUGGCUGAUGAACAGGUGGAGGACGUUGGAUAUCCUACAGAACCAUAGAAUUUAAAAUAUCCAUGUUUAGAUUACUCCUGUUGUUGAUGUUUAAUCGUUCCAAAACUGGGCGGUCGACUAUAAAUGUUCACUUGUAACAUUGACUUGAAUCUCACAAAGUCGAAGGCAUAGCUGAGGUCUUUGCUGCUGGUGUUGCUGCAUUACGAGUAUCUGACUAUUUGCAGCGACGGUGACACCUCCAACAUCAACGCCUGCACCGACCAUAGCCCCUAAGGCAGAUAUCACAGCAGCAAUUGGGUGUAGAAAUAUAUACUUUACUUUAACAGGCUUCCAAUAACUAUUUACAAAUAAAGGCGAAAGUCUGUGGUUAAAAACAUUGAUAUUAAGAGAAAUAUAAUAUAAAAUAAAUUUACCUGGGCACUAGCGCCCUUGUUUUGAGCAAA